rnacentral:rRNA from 1 species
UACAGAGGGUGCGAGCGUUGUUCGGAAUUACUGGGCGUAAAGCGCGCGCAGGCGGCUCUUUAAGUCUACCCGUGAAAUGCCGGAGCUCAACUCCGUGCACGCCGGGGGAUACUGGAGAGCUGGAGACAUGUAGAGGCAAGCGGAAUUCCGGGUGUAGCGGUGGAAUGCGUAGAGAUCCGGAAGAACACCGGAGGCGAAGGCGGCUGCUGGGCAUGGCUGACGCUGAGGCGCGAAAGCGUGGGGAGCGAACAGG